rnacentral:rRNA from 1 species
CCUUGACAUGCUGAGAACUUUCCAGAGAUGGAUUGGUGCCUUCGGGAACUCAGACACAGGUGCUGCAUGGCUGUCGUCAGCUCGUGUCGAGAGAUGUUGGGUUAAGUCCCGUAACGAGCGCAACCCUUAUCCUUAGUUACCAGCACGUAAUGGUGGGCACUCUAAGGAGACUGCCGGUGACAAACCGGAGGAAGGUGGGGAUGACGUCAAGUCAUCAUGGCCCUUACGGCCAGGGCUACACACGUGCUACAAUGGUCGGUACAAAGGGUUGCCAAGCCGCGAGGUGGAGCUAAUCCCAUAAAACCGAUCGUAGUCCGGAUCGCAGUCUGCAACUCGACUGCGUGAAGUCGGAAUCGCUAGUAAUCGUGAAUCAGAAUGUCACGGUGAAUACGUUCCCGGGCCUUGUACACACCGCCCGUCACACCAUGGGAGUGGGUUGCUCCAGAAGUAGCUAGUCUAACCUUCGGGGGGACGGUUACCACGGAGUGAUUCAUGACUGGGGUGAAGUCGUAACAAGGUAGGCGUAGAUGA